GUGCCCCCCGCCGCGGUAAUACGAAGGGUGCAAUCGUUACUCGGAAUUACUGGGCGUAAAGCGUGCGUAGGUGGUCGUUUAAGUCCGUUGUGAAAGCCCUGGGCUCAACCUGGGAACUGCAGUGGAUACUGGGCGACUAGAGUGUGGUAGAGGGUAGCGGAAUUCCUGGUGUAGCAGUGAAAUGCGUAGAGAUCAGGAGGAACAUCCAUGGCGAAGGCAGCUACCUGGACCAACACUGACACUGAGGCACGAAAGCGUGGGGAGCAAACAGGAUUAGAUGCCCUGGUGGUCCACGCCCUAAACGAUGCGAACUGGAUGUUGGGUGCAAUUUGGCACGCAGUAUCGAAGCUAGCGCGUUAAGUUCGCCGCCUGGGGAGUACGGUCGCAAGACUGAAACUCAAAGGAAUUGACGGGGGCCCGCACAAGCGGUGGAGUAUGUGGUUUAAUUCGAUGCAACGCGAAGAACCUUACCUGGCCUUGACAUGUCGAGAACUUUCCAGAGAUGGAUUGGUGCCUUCGGGAACUCGAACACAGGUGCUGCAUGGCUGUCGUCAGCUCGUGUCGUGAGAUGUUGGGUUAAGUCCCGCAACGAGCGCAACCCUUGUCCUUAGUUGCC
rnacentral:rRNA from 1 species